rnacentral:rRNA from 1 species
UACGUAGGGGGCAAGCGUUGUCCGGAAUCAUUGGGCGUAAAGAGCGUGUAGGCGGCCCGAUAAGUCCGCUGUGAAAGUCCAGGGCUCAACCCUGGAAUGCCGGUGGAUACUGUCGGGCUCGAAUCCGGAAGAGGUGAGUGGAAUUCCUGGUGUAGCGGUGAAAUGCGCAGAUAUCAGGAGGAACACCAAUGGCGAAGGCGGUUCUCUGGGCAUUACCUGACGCUGAGGAGCGAAAGCGUGGGGAGCGAACAGG